GACGAACCGUCCUAACGUUGUUCGGAAUCACUGGGCUUAAAGGGCGCGUAGGCGGUCGGCCAAGUUAGGGGUGAAAUCUUUCGGCUUAACCGGAAAAGUGCCUUUAAAACUAGUCGACUCGAGCGAGAUAGGGGCAACUGGAACUUCCGGUGGAGCGGUGAAAUGCGUUGAUAUCGGGAGGAACGCCGGUGGCGAAAGCGGUUCUCUGGGCAUGUCCUGACGCUGAGGAGCGAAAGUGUGGGGAGCGAACAGG
rnacentral:rRNA from 1 species